CUUACAGGAAUGUCUAUAGCAUUUGAACCUAACUUGUGAGUCAAGCCUGAGACCAGGUUUAAGGAUUAGAAGGAGUGGAGUUAAUGGGAUGAAUUUAAGCAGAGAAAGAAUUAGGCUGAAUAAUUUGAGACGUGCUGCUCCCCUCACGUACACAAGCACGGCAAUCACUAUAAAGCAAUCUUGUUAUAUAAAAACUUUUAAGCCCAAGAGAUGUAGAAACAAAUCAAUGGAAAAGUAGGUUUUUAGGGUUGGUUUUUAAAAGCUUGGUGCAGUGGCAUCUGGCUGGGGCAUCCUGCCCAUCUUGGAGGAGUAGGGCUUGGUUUAGAUACCACAGAGUCUUGGCACAGCCCUUAGCUUGUAGGUGCAUUCCCAGGAUGCAGACAUGCACGCUUUUUGUCUAGCAGCUUAUCCUGGAAACUGGGACUCGCAGUCCGGCCUCCCACCCCCGGGCCCAGUCCCAAGAGCUCACCCUGAAGACAUUCUGUCCAAGGUGCUCACAGAAGGGGUGAGCCUUCUGCUCUGCGGCUGGUCUCUGCAGGGAGCAAUGCACACAGGUAGGGCAAGGCUUUGCGCAGUGUUUCUAAGUGUACCAUUGCUCUCAUUUCAAGAGAGAGACAGGCAGUUACAGAGCAGGAGACAAAACAGCCUGCUUCCUACAUGCAAAUGGCUUCACUUAACUCACCCUUCCCAUGCCAGGCCCAGAGGUCAGCUUGUGUCCAGAGGGGAUCCCUCUGCCCCAUCAGAGCCCUGGUACUGGCAGCUCCCCUUGCAGCCUGAGCUCCUUCCCCUCUGUAACUUCCCAGUCCCUCAAUCAGGCAAUUUGGCCCCAAGCUUUCUCCAGGUGAUCACAGUCCUCUGCCAGGUGACUCUGUUGCCAAGGAAACCUCUCCCCUGACAAUCCGGUGCUCCUCCGUAGGAGCUAGUGUACUGUCAGUGUUUUUACAUUUCAGGGGUGCUGCCGUUCCAUCAAAGCCCCUCUGCUGCUCACUCCAGGCUGGUGCAUUUUGGAUGCUUUCAGACAGGAGGGAAAGACCAGCUUUACCAUCCGGAGGGAGUUUGCAGUCAGACACGCCUAUGCCAUGUUCAUCUGCUAAAACAGAAUCCCUAACUGGAGAGGCGCCCCAAAUCUUCACGGAGGAAGAUGAGCUGGAUUUCUGCAGGAGCGAGCUCCUCAUCAUCGGGGUUGCCUUGGCACAAGCUUAGUUGCCUGCUGUCUUCAAGUGCAAAAGCAGACGCUCCGAACACCAAGAGGUAGAUGAGCACAGAAGCCCAGGGGAAGGUCCUCAGGAGGAGGUCUUGAUUAAAACAGGGUCCAUCCCCUUCAUAACUUUGCAUGCUCACAGAAGCUGCCUUGCACUGAAUUGACCACAUACUGGGCAGCCGGCACGCAGAAUGCUGAGCUGGCUGAAUAUGAUCAUGACAGCUCAGAUCAGCAAGCAAGCCACGGCAUUUCUGAGCAAGCUGUAAGGAGCAGCUCAGCCUCACCAACAACCCAGCAAAAAGGGAAUGGUAGGAAUCGAGCCUGGAGGUUGGCAGAGCAUGCCUAGCUGUUACAUUGCGAGGCAAGUAGCAGAAAACAUUAUCGCUGAGCCUGCUACAAUCCCUUGGUAGGUGCUGGGGCCUGAGAGUUCUUUUAAUGAUAUAUUUAAAUUUAAAACCAGUGCUGGAGGUUAUAUAAUGGGUAAUGUCCUGUGUUGGCAAAAGAGGGGGCUAGGGGAAAUUUCAUCUGCUGCGGAAGUCAACAAAAGGCACCAGAACGUCUUACUGGGUUUCCUGCUGAAGUACCAAACAGCAGGUAAUGUAUCCCUUGGUUUUUGUUAACAACAAGUAGAUGUCUGAUCUUCCUGCCAAGGCAGCCAGAUGAAAAUUAAAUUUGUGUCUAAGCAGUAGAGAACUUUCAAAUAACAGCCACAAAAGCAUAGGGCAUUUUUCCUUCCCCUCUUAUUUCCUUGACUUUCUUUCAAGAUAAGCAUGUGUGACUUGGCUGUCAGUGCAGCUGUAACUCAUCAGUGAAAAUAAAUCAGUGCCUAAUACAUAGAAUCAGAUAUUCCAAAAAGGCAAUAGCAAAAAAAUCACCUUUCCUUUAUGUAGAUGAAUGUGUCUGUUCACAGAAUACAGUUUCUAUUAGCAAGGUACCGUUAACUUGCUGUCCAGGGUGGGUAGAAAGAGCAUUUAAAAAUUGAAAUCAUUACCUAGGUAUUGUUAGGAUUAAGAUGCUUUUAUCAGGACAGACCCUGGAGUCAGGAACUCACAAGUCUGUAUCUUUGAUUUUGAUAAGUGGGAGGUGAAGGAGUUGGAAGCCCAGACUCAGGGGAGUUUCACAACGUGCUCCUGGGCUGCAUGGAGCAUCUAGCUAUCAAUACAGUGUUAUACACUUCAGGAGAAAAGAAGAAUAAUCAAAUACUCCCUGGUAUCAUGGCCUCAGCCUGGGAGGGAUGCUUUUGUCUUGUUUGUCUGGGUUUUUUUACUGCAGAUCUGAGUGGGAGAGAAGGGUUUCAGCUAUUUUUAAAUUAUAAUAAUAAUAAACAAUCAAACCAAAAGCCUUUGGCAUAUUCAGAGGGUUUUGUACUCAGAUUCCUUCACUUUAGUAAAUCAUACCAGUAUUCAUCAGGUGAGUUGUUCCUCAUUGAACCUAAUAACUUUGCUUAUUUUCAAAUCUUUUACUGCUAGAAAAUGUGAAAGUAGCAUUGUUUGGCAUUGGCAAUUACAUAGCUCAGCAUUCCACUAAUGUCUGUUGGCAAACAAGGAAUAUAACCAAGUAAAAAGUGCCCAUUCGGACUAUAGAAAGAACAGUCGCCUACUCCCUGCAGUCUGUCAGAGCGGUAACUGGCACCAUAUGUCCCAAAUCCAUGUUUUUCCAGAAUUUUAAAAGAACAACUGGAGUGGCAUUGUUCUGCAUUUGGACAUCCUCAGACUGAGCUUAUGGCCUCUUCCUUGCAGAAGGGGCAGGAAGCGUGAAUCAGGUUGAUGCAAUAACUCCUAAAAGCAUUAAUUGGGUCCCAAAGCACUGGGUAGCAUGAAACUCUCUCGGGUAUUGUUUGCCAAUGAGCAGUCUGAUAAUAAAUGCUCUUCUGCAUUUCAUUAGGUGCCAGUAUUGUACUGUCACUCAGUAUCCUACCAAAUCAGCUCACGAGGUUGUGGAGAAUCUGGGAAAUGUAGGACUGGAGUUAAGUGUCUAAUUUUCCUUUCUAGGCUAUAAUACAUACAGGACAAACAUGGUUUGGAGACACCAUCUUUUGAUGACGUAGUAGGCUCUGCAGGUGAUUCUGGGGCAGCAUCUAGGAAAGAGAUGAGCCUAUACGUGCUAAAUAAAUGAAGUCCAGGUGCUCUGCAGAUAACCCCCACAGAAGCCUGAGACUUGACUGCUGAAUAAUCAGGAGUAUCGCAGAGGUAUAAGAACCACACAACGGAGGACCACAACAAGCCAACCUUUAAACGGGGAGGUGAUGUCCAGUCAGAAUGACCUUAGAGCAGUAGAGGCGCACAGUGAAAUGGAAAAGGACAAUGCAGGCACCCAGCAAAGCAGUGCAGGAUACCAGUGGGGUACUUGGAAAACAUGCAACAUUUGUUUGGGGAGGGAGAUCCAACUCCUCAUGCUUUUUUUAUGCGUAGACUCAUCCCACUUCUUAGUAAAUCUGCUUCCAUGGUG